GAUGAACGCUGGCGGCGUGCCUAAUACAUGCAAGUCGAGCGAACGGACGAGAAGCUUGCUUCUCUGAUGUUAGCGGCGGACGGGUGAGUAACACGUGGAUAACCUACCUAUAAGACUGGGAUAACUUCGGGAAACCGGAGCUAAUACCGGAUAAUAUUUUGAACCGCAUGGUUCAAAAGUGAAAGACGGUCUUGCUGUCACUUAUAGAUGGAUCCGCGCUGCAUUAGCUAGUUGGUAAGGUAACGGCUUACCAAGGCAACGAUGCAUAGCCGACCUGAGAGGGUGAUCGGCCACACUGGAACUGAGACACGGUCCAGACUCCUACGGGAGGCAGCAGUAGGGAAUCUUCCGCAAUGGGCGAAAGCCUGACGGAGCAACGCCGCGUGGGUGAUGAAGGUCUUCGGAUCGUAAAACUCUGUUAUUAGGAAAGAACAUAUGUGUAAGUAACUGUGCACAUCUUGACGGUACCUAAUCAGAAAGCCACGGCUAACUACGUG
rnacentral:rRNA from 1 species